GGUAUUGUUUACCUCACGAUAAGCCCCGGAAACUUAUUGUAAAAGUUAGGUAAGGAACGACCUGACAUGUAAACAACUA
rfam:Fructobacillus sp. EFB-N1 FEFB_c000014, whole genome shotgun sequence.